rnacentral:rRNA from 1 species
UGCUCUAGUAACGGCGAGUGAAGCAGCAAUAGCUCAAAUUUGAAAUCUGGCGUCUUCGACGUCCGAGUUGUAAUUUGUAGAGGAUGCUUCUGAGUAACCACCGACCUAAGUUCCUUGGAACAGGACGUCAUAGAGGGUGAGAAUCCCGUAUGCGGUCGGAAAGGUGCUCUACACGUAGCUCCUUCGACGAGUCGAGUUGUUUGGGAAUGCAGCUCUAAAUGGGAGGUAAAUUUCUUCUAAAGCUAAAUAUUGGCCAGAGACCGAUAGCGCACAAGUAGAGUGAUCGAAAGAUGAAAAGCACUUUGGAAAGAGAGUUAAAAAGCACGUGAAAUUGUUAAAAGGGAAGGGAUUGCAACCAGACUUGCUCGCGGUGUUCCGCCGGUCUUCUGACCGGUCUACUCGCCGCGUUGCAGGCCAGCAUCGUCUGGUGCCGCUGGAUAAGACUUGAGGAAUGUAGCUCCCUCGGGAGUGUUAUAGCCUCUUGUGAUGCAGCGAGCGCCGGGCGAGGUCCGCGCUUCGGCUAGGAUGCUGGCGUAAUGGUCGUAAUCCGCCCGUCUUGAAACACGGACCAAGGAGUCUAACAUCUAUGCGAGUGUUCGGGUGUCAAACCCCUACGCGUAAUGAAAGUGAACGGAGGUGAGAACCGCAAGGUGCAUCAUCGACCGAUCCUGAUGUCUUCGGAUGGAUUUG